UACGUAGGGUGCAAGCGUUAAUCGGAAUUACUGGGCGUAAAGCGUGCGCAGGCGGUUGUGCAAGUCAGAUGUGAAAUCCCCGGGCUUAACCUGGGAAUUGCAUUUGAGACUGCACGGCUAGAGUGUGUCAGAGGGGGGUAGAAUUCCACGUGUAGCAGUGAAAUGCGUAGAUAUGUGGAGGAAUACCGAUGGCGAAGGCAGCCCCCUGGGAUAACACUGACGCCUCAUGCACGAAAGCGUGGGGAGCAAACAGG
rnacentral:rRNA from 1 species